GGUAGGAAAUGCUAAAGGUACAAUCAUUCAGACCCACCUUUUACUGGGUAAUAUUUUAUUUUCAUGUUAGUUCCUCUGCUGUCUGUGGAGCUGCUUGCAGGCUAACGGGUGGCAGCAUGGAGAUGUAAUUUUCUAACAAGCCUUAUUUAGGUAAUUCAUGUAAUUUGUACCAAUUUAUUCUCUCAGUUUUUGUCCUGAGGCUGCAGACAGAUUUUGUGGCCGUGAUCUGGAGCUGAUACACAGAUACCACCCUGCUCUUGCUCUGUUCUCGGCAUCACAUUAUCCCCUCUUCAGCAGUGCAGCAUGAGAGCUUUUCCCUCUUCACAACCUACAUGGAGCUUCAUGAUUGUCUGAUAUGUAACAAUUAAAAGAUAUCUGGGAGAUGUUCCAUGCUGGGAGCGUGGAUAGAAGCUCACAAUUGGAUAGAAGCUCACAAUUGGAAAGGCUGCUCUUCUUUCUGGAACAGAUAUAUUGGAUUGAACGCAGUAGGCUGUGGGAAUAAGCAGGUCACAAAGCCUGAGAAACCCCAGUAGGUUCCAGGUCCUGCUCCCUUAGGUUGUCCUGUUCCUAGGGUAGCACAGCUUGCCAAACCCGAUUGUAGGCUGCAGUUUUCCUCCAGCUUGCUCUUCUCCCUGUAGGGAAACUCAUUCCCUGGUUGCUAAUCCCCCAUCCCAAGUUACAGAUUUUGCUCUUGAGAAGGAUUCUCCUCCAAAAAGAAGAAAUAAUAACCAAUUGAGACAGGAUGGCUUUUUGGAAGGACUUCUUGCAAAGGCUCCUUGGAUUCAAAGAAGGUGAGAAUCCAUCCCUCACAGAGCAGGAGACAGGCUGAGCAGCAGAGCCAUUUGAUAGAUGUUAAAAGACAAACCACCAAAAGGCAAAUAUGCCUUUGGAAAACAGUAUUAAGUAAUAUUUUAAAGAAUGGCCACACAUCAUAUUCACACAGAUGCCAACAGGAAGCCCAGCUCAGGAAAAGAAAAGCUUUCAGGACUCGGGCUGAAGACAAGGAUUGCUCUUGAAGUAACUGUAAAAUGCAAUGACCUUGUGGGAGCCCACCUCGAUGAGGCUGGAUAUUUGACUGAUGUACCACUCAAGUCAUUUUCACAGAGCUUGGGAGGAAUUUCAGCUGCAAGAAAUUCUCUGCUUGAGCUUUAGUUUCUUUAUCUCAAGCAUGCUGCUGCAGAGCUCUAAAAGUGGGAAGGGGGCAAGGGCUCGUUUGUGGAGCUGGAAGAUUGGGUGGGCAUAUCCAGGUGGUUUUGCCCUCCAAUUCAUUGUACCUAAAUGCACCUGUCUCUAAUUCUCUGUGUAAUCAUGAAGAUGUUUCUCAGCUGGUGAGCUCAGGUGUGCUGGGGCUGCAGUGGAGCAGGUCUGAACACAAGGCAGAAUUUAGUCAGUUUUUGUGCUGAGGAGACAACCAAAGCUCCAGGGAUGGCACUUUGAAGGCCUUUUCCUCCUUAUUCCAGGGUACUGCCUUGAUGGAGCUGCAUCUGUCUUGGUGAGAAAUUUUCUGUGGGGGAGGUGGGGGGGUCGUGGCUGAGGUUCUGGUGUGGGUGGGUGACAGUGCACUCAGGGAAUGUGUUAUAGGUGCUUCAGUGUUGUAUUUUGGGGCCUCUAGGAAACGGAUGGGAAGGCAGAGUUGCUGCCUCAGAAAUUCCAGGUCAAAAUAGACUAAGACAUGACAAAGUAUAAGGGCAAGGUGUUCUAUUAUGCAUUAUAUAAGGCCAAGAGAAGACUCUGAGAGCUUAUUUAAACUUAAAAUCAGAGAGGGGCAAAUCUACAAGACCCUGUCGAUAUCAGAUUGGAGUGUAUGCAUGCUUUUAGAGCAACCACAAACAUGUUUCUCCCUUGUAAGGCUCAUUAUCCUAAUAUAGAAAGCUCCUGGAGAUAAGGCUGUGUCGGGCAUACGGUAGAGCCUAUGCUCCAGGCACAGGGAGUAAGUGUUGAGGCAAGAAAUGACUUUUUCCUGGCAUGACCCACUAAGAUUGAACUGGAAUGGCAAUUAGAAGUUGAAGUGCUCAUUUAAUGUCAGUGAUGUGUAAACUACGUUGCCAUUGUUAUUUUAGUGCUUAUUUACAUAAUUGGCAUACCCUGAAGUCACACUGCACGAACUUUCAGUUCAUGCUAAAGACUUGCAGGAAGUCAUAAAAUUAAACAU
ensembl:lncRNA